rnacentral:tRNA from 1 species
GCCUGGGUGGCUCAAUCAGUUAAGCAUCUGACUUCAGCUCAGCUCAUGAUCUCACAGUUCGUGGGUUUGAGCCCCACAUUGGGCU